AUUGAACGCUGGCGGCAGGCCUAACACAUGCAAGUCGAACGCGUGGCGGACGGGUGAGUAAUGUCUGGGAAACUGCCUGAUGGAGGGGGAUCACUACUGGAAACGGUAGCUAAUACCGCAUACCAUCGGAUGUGCCCAGAUGGGAUUAGCUAGGAGGUGGGGUAACGGCUCACCUAGGCGACGAUCCCUAGCUGGUCUGAGAGGAUGACCAGCAACACUGGAACUGAGACACGGUCCAGACUCCUACGGGAGGCAGCAGUGGGGAAUAUUGCACAAUGGGCGCAAGCCUGAUACAGCCAUGCCGCGUGUAUGAAGAAGGCCUUCGGGUUGUAAAGUACUUUCAGCGAGGAGGCGUUACUCGCAGAAGAAGCACCGGCUAACUCCGUGCCAGCAGCCGCGGUAAUUC
rnacentral:rRNA from 1 species